GGAAUAAUGGUUUUGACUUGUCAUAUUUUCUAUCUCUUAUUCCGCUGGGUAUUUGGUCGCCUUUCUGAUUUUAUCUUGUUUUUACCAUUUUUCAAGGUAGAGUAGAAACAUUAAUUCAAUGUCUAGCUGGCUGAUUGAGUAUCGCAUGGAAGUGAAAAACCUCACCUUUCUAUGAUUAGCAAAGAACAUAAUAUUCAUAAUCUG
rnacentral:misc_RNA from 1 species